rnacentral:rRNA from 1 species
UACGUAGGAGGCAAGCGUUGUCCGGAUUUAUUGGGUUUAAAGGGUGCGUAGGCGGCCUUAUAAGUCAGUGGUGAAAGCCGACAGCUUAACUGUCGAACUGCCAUUGAUACUGUAAGGCUUGAGUACAAAUGAGGUAGGCGGAAUUGAUGAUGUAGCGGUGAAAUGCUUAGAUAUCAUCAAGAACACCGAUUGCGAAGGCAGCUUACUAAGAUGUAACUGACGCUGAGGCACGAAAGUGCGGGGAUCAAACAGG